AAAAAAAAAAGCAUGCUCGGCUUCGCUUCACGCCCAAACUUCUUCUGCUUCCGUCAAACGCUCAACAUAACGGGAGCUAAUUUGCAAUAAAACCAUUUCGCAAAUUGUCCAAGUUAGGGUUAGUGAUUUCGCAAGACCUUCUUUAAAUUUUCUCUUCUCUGCGUUGUUUUUCGAUCGAUUGCUUCCAUUUAAGGUUUUAGGUGGAACAAAUUUUUCAGAGAUUACGAAUUUGAGGUAAAGGAGUGUGAGUUGUAUACGCAUAUUGAGUGAACUUUAUAAGGAAAGCAUUUUGUGUGGCAGGUGUGUCUUCUCAUCUUUGUUUGCACGAAUCCAAGGCCAAGGAGAAUGGUAUGUCUUAUUAUGUCUCCUUUUCUGCAUCGUUAGAUCUCGCCCUCCUUUCAUCUUUUCAAUUUCUUCUUACUCUUCUUGUUUGCUUACUUAUUUUUUUUUUUUCUUUUUCACAUUUUUAAUUACUUUUUUGGGUGGAUAUUUUAUUCUCCCACUAGUUAUUUUCCUCUCUUCUUUCUAUUUCUAGUCCAUUAGUUUAAUUUAUUGGUCUGGCAAAUGGAUUUUUUCCCUCUUUUAUAUUAAGCAGGGGACCAAGCUAUGGCUCUUGGGGCAAAGUUCUCCCGGCUUUUGAAGAUAAUAGGGCUUCAAAAAUUGGGGUUAGGUUUGAUAAAUCAAUUCCAGAUGGCAAUGAUCUUGGUGGCCUUUGCGAAGAUGAUCGUGGGUUCUUUUGUUCUGCAAAUCAUUUACUACGAGUAGAUGGCUCUGGAGUGGAUGACCUUGGCAAAGUUGCAAUUAAUGAAAUGUUUAAGGAUAACUUGAGUAGACUGCAUGAUAGGAGCAAAGAAACCCACAGUCAUGAAGCAACUUAAUCGCCUUUUUCCAAACAAAGUGACUGUACAGUUGCCUCAGGACGAGGCUUUACUUUAUGACUGGAAGCAACGGUUAAAUCAUGACAUUGAAACUAUGAAAGCUCAGUCCAAUGUUGUCAACAUUCAAAGGUUUUAGGUGGAACAAAUUUUUUCAGAGAUUACAAAUUUGAGGUAAGGGAAUACGAAUGUUCUUUAUUUAUUUUUUAACGUUUUGAUUUGAAAUUACAAUGUUAUUUGCCUUUUGAAAUUACGAGUGUUAUUUGUUUUUGAUGUUCUGAAUAGAAAUUGGCUUGUUCAUGAUGUUUUUCAUGAUCAUUAAUUUGUUGAUUAUUAAAUCUAUGAUUGUUUUAAAAGAGGAAGAACCUCAACUGGAAAGUGCUGAUAUGUUCCAUUGCUUGAUUCUUCUCUACUUUUGAUUUGCUCUGUCACAAUAAAAUAGAUGCACUAGGGUAAAAUAAGGAUAUGAAGACAAUUA